rnacentral:rRNA from 1 species
AUGUCAGUUACUUUCAUCUUGGGCAUAGCCAACCUUAUUGGUGGACUGACCCUCAUUUUUCACAACAUUGCUGAUCUGAGAGACAUAGAAGACAUGAACAAGGAAAAAAAUGAGAAGGUCGGCCACUAUUGGCUCAAGCUCAGGAGGUGGUCGAAAGCCCAGCUCCACAUGGUCCUAGCACUAUUGUCACACAUGGUGUUUGGGCCACUUCCAACGGUGCUCCGCGGGUUGUCGUUCCGCGAGAGCAAUGACUGGGAGAACAAGAUGAUGAACGUCACCGGUGCUUCGCUCGCGUGCAUCGCGCUGCUUGCGCUCGGGACGUGCAUGUCCACAAAAGAGCCAUGA